ensembl:misc_RNA Metazoa_SRP Metazoan signal recognition particle RNA
GCCAGGCGCAGUGGCGCGUGCCUGUAGUCCCAGCUACUCGGGAGGCUGAGGUGGGAGGACCGCUUGAGCCCAGGAGUUCUGGGCUGUAGUGCACUAUGCCGAUCGGGUGUCCGCACUAAGUUUGGCAUCAAUAUGGUGACCUCCCGGGAGUGGGGGACCACCAGGUUGCCUAAGGAGGGGUGAACCGGCCCAGGUCAGAAAUGGAGCAGGUCAAAACUCCUGUCCUGAUCAGUAGUGGGAUCACGCCUGUGAAUAACCAGUGCACUCCAGCCUGGGCAACACAGUGAGACCCUGUCUCUA